AUGAACGCUGGCGGCGUGCCUAAUACAUGCAAGUCGAGCGAACAGACGAGGAGCUUGCUCCUCUGACGUUGGCGGCGGACGGGUGAGUAACACGUGGAUAACCUACCUAUAAGACUGGGAUAACUUCGGGAAACCGGAGCUAAUACCGGAUAAUAUAUUGAACCGCAUGGUUCAAUAGUGAAAGACGGUUUUGCUGUCACUUAUAGAUGGAUCCGCGCCGCAUUAGCUAGUUGGUAAGGUAACGGCUUACCAAGGCGACGAUGCGUAGCCGACCUGAGAGGGUGAUCGGCCACACUGGAACUGAGACACGGUCCAGACUCCUACGGGAGGCAGCAGUAGGGAAUCUUCCGCAAUGGGCGAAAGCCUGACGGAGCAACGCCGCGUGAGUGAUGAAGGUCUUCGGAUCGUAAAACUCUGUUAUUAGGGAAGAACAAAUGUGUAAGUAACUAUGCACGUCUUGACGGCACCUAAUCAGAAAGCCACGGCUAACUACGUG
rnacentral:rRNA from 1 species